CCUACGGGAGACAGCAGUGAGGAAUAUUGGUCAAUGGGAGAGAUCCUGAACCAGCCAAGCCGCGUGAGGGAAGACGGCCCUAUGGGUUGUAAACCUCUUUUGUCGGAGAACAAAACCCGGGACGUGUCCCGGACUGCGUGUAUCCGAAGAAAAAGCAUCGGCUAACUCCGUGCCAGCAGCCGCGGUAAUCCGGGGGAUGCGAGCGUUAUCCGGAUUUAUUGGGUUUAACGGGUGCGUCGGCGGUCCGUUAAGUCAGCGGUAAAAUGGCGGGGCUCAACCCCGUCGAGCCGUUGAAACUGGCAGACUUGAGUUGGCGAGAAGUACGCGGAAUGCGCGGUGUAGCGGUGAAAUGCAUAGAUAUCGCGCAGAACUCCGAUUGCGAAGGCAGCGUACCGGCGCCAGACUGACGCUGAGGCACGAAAGCGUGGGGAUCGAACAGGAUUAGAUACCUGAGUAGUC
rnacentral:rRNA from 1 species